AUCUAAAUAUGAUAUAACAGCAUGCAUUUAAAUUUGAAAUUCAAAUUUGAAACAGUAAACUUUUUAGUAUACUGUGUUCAGAACACAUCACCUUUUGUGGGUAGUCGAUCACCGCAAUCUGAUCACCGUCGGAGGGACUCUAAUCGUCAUGUCACAGCCACACUAGUGUCCGACCUCCGCGGAUCAUCCACACGAAGCUCCCGUC
rnacentral:lncRNA from 1 species